CUAGUCAUAAAGACCCAACUCCUAGCAACAUUAGGCGAAUACCCAAAAUUGUGGUCAUUUUGUUUCUAUCUUUCCA
rfam:Picea glauca, whole genome shotgun sequence.